UGAACCUUUACUAUAGCUUGACACUGAACAUUGAGCCUUGAUGUGUAGGAUAGGUGGGAGGCUUUGAAGUGUGGACGCCAGUCUGCAUGGAGCCGACCUUGAAAUACCACCCUUUAAUGUUUGAUGUUCUAACGUUGACCCGUAAUCCGGGUUGCGGACAGUGUCUGGUGGGUAGUUUGACUGGGGCGGUCUCCUCCUAAAGAGUAACGGAGGAGCACGAAGGUUGGCUAAUCCUGGUCGGACAUCAGGAGGUUAGUGCAAUGGCAUAAGCCAGCUUGACUGCGAGCGUGACGGCGCGAGCAGGUGCGAAAGCAGGUCAUAGUGAUCCGGUGGUUCUGAAUGGAAGGGCCAUCGCUCAACGGAUAAAAGGUACUCCGGGGAUAACAGGCUGAUACCGCCCAAGAGUUCAUAUCGACGGCGGUGUUUGGCACCUCGAUGUCGGCUCAUCACAUCCUGGGGCUGAAGUAGGUCCCAAGGGUAUGGCUGUUCGCCAUUUAAAGUGGUACGCGAGCUGGGUUUAGAACGUCGUGAGACAGUUCGGUCCCUAUCUGCCGUGGGCGCUGGAGAACUGAGGGGGGCUGCUCCUAGUACGAGAGGACCGGAGUGGACGCAUCACUGGUGUUCGGGUUGUCAUGCCAAUGGCACUGCCCGGUAGCUAAAUGCGGAAGAGAUAAGUGCUGAA
rnacentral:rRNA from 1 species